rnacentral:rRNA from 1 species
GACGAACGCUGGCGGCGUGCUUAACACAUGCAAGUCGAACGGAAAGGCCCUGCUUUUGUGGGGUGCUCGAGUGGCGAACGGGUGAGUAACACGUGAGUAACCUGCCCUUGACUUUGGGAUAACUUCAGGAAACUGGGGCUAAUACCGGAUAGGAGCUCCUGCUGCAUGGUGGGGGUUGGAAAGUUUCGGCGGUUGGGGAUGGACUCGCGGCUUAUCAGCUUGUUGGUGGGGUAGUGGCUUACCAAGGCUUUGACGGGUAGCCGGCCUGAGAGGGUGACCGGCCACAUUGGGACUGGGAUACGGCCCAGACUCCUACGGGAGGCAGCAGGGGGGAAUAUUGCACAAUGGGCGGAAGCCUGAUUCAGCAACGCCGCGUGCGGGAUGACGGCCUUCGGGUUGUAAACCGCUUUCGCCUGGGACGAAGCGUGAGUGACGGGAAUGGGUAAAGAAGCACCGGCUAACUACGUG